UACGUAGGGGCUAGCGUUGUCCGGAAUCAUUGGGCGUAAAGAGCGUGUAGGCGGCCGGUAAGUCCGCUGUAAAGUCAAGGCUCAACCUUGAAUGUCAGUGGAUACUGCCGGCUAGAGUCCGGAAGAGGCGAGUGGAACUCCUGGUGUAGCGGUGGAAUGCGCAGAUAUCAGGAAGAACACCAACGGCGAAGGCAGCUCGCUGGACGGUACUGACGCUGAGACGCGAAGCGUGGGGAGCGAACAGG
rnacentral:rRNA from 1 species